UAGGGAAUCUUCGGCAAUGGACGAAAGUCUGACCGAGCAACGCCGCGUGCGUGAAGAAGGCUUUCGGUUCGUAAAACUCUGUUGCUAGAGAAGAACAAGGACGUUAGUAACUGAACGUCCCCUGACGGUAUCUAACCAGAAAGCCACGGCUAACUACGUGCCAGCAGCCGCGGUAAUACGUAGGUGGCAAGCGUUGUCCGGAUUUAUUGGGCGUAAAGCGAGCGCAGGCGGUUUCUUAAGUCUGAUGUGAAAGCCCCGGGCUCAACCGGAGAGGGUCAUUGGAAACUGAGGGACUUGAGUGCAGAAGAGGAGAGUGGAAUUCCGUGUGUGGCGGUGAAAUGCAUAGAUAUAUGGGGGAACACCAGUGGCGAAGGCAGCUCUCUGGACUGUAACUGACGCUGAGGCUCGAAAGCGUGGGGAGCAAACAGG
rnacentral:rRNA from 1 species